CGGGCUAAACCCGCGUACAUGCCACCGGGGCAUCCCGGAGGCAGGAAAGGCUUCGGCCGGACAGGGAUGGGCAUGCGGCGCAUUAGGCAGUAGGCGGGGUAACGGCCCACCUAACCGACGAUGCGUAGGGGUUCUGAGAGGAAGGUCCCCCACACUGGUACUGAGACACGGACCAGACUCCUACGGGGGGCAGCAGUGAGGAAUAUUGGUCAAUGGUCGGGAGACUGAACCAGCCAAGCCGCGUGAGGGAUGAAGGUACAGAGUAUCGUAAACCUCUUUUGUCAGGGAACAAAGGCGGGGACGUGUCCCCGGAUGAGUGUACCUGAAGAAAAAGCAUCGGCUAACUCCGUGCCAGCAGCCGCGGUAAUACGGAGGAUGCGAGCGUUAUCCGGAUUUAUUGGGUUUAAAGGGUGCGCAGGCGGUCUGUUAAGUCAGCGGUCAAAGCCCGGGGCUCAACCCCGGCCCGCCGUUGAAACUGGCAGUCUCGAGUUGGAGAGAAGUAUGCGGAAUGCGCGGUGUAGCGGUGAAAUGCAUAGAUAUCGCGCAGAACUCCGAUUGCGAAGGCAGCAUGCCGGCUCCACACUGACGCUGAGGCACGAAAGCGUGGGUAUCGAACAGGAUUAGAUACCCUGGUAGUCCACGCAGUAAACGA
rnacentral:rRNA from 1 species